GCAGUCCAGUGGAGCACACGGCUUCAGGGCACGAUUCAGCAUGAGCUGGAAAGAGGCAUUCUAGCAAAGACGAAGAUACACGAUUAAAAAGUAAUUUCAAAUAGUUAAGACUAAGGAGAGUGUUUGGACUGAAAUCAGCAUGAUAACCUGCCCUGAAUGGCGAGAUGUCAGACCACUGCAGGAAGGAUGACGCAUGUGGUGAUGAAGGACCUCGAGGCAGGUUGAACCCAGUUCUCUAGCUGGGUCUUAAGCCAAGUUUGCAGCACUGUGCCGUGGCAGCUCUGUCCCCCGGCAGCAUGGAUUUGAGAACACUCAGGUCAGAUUUCACUGGGGUCAGCGAUCUGGAAAGGAGCAGUAAUCGAAAGAGAACAGACGUUUUCUCUCAUGUGCUCCAGAGUGGCCGGCCUGAGAGUCCCAGGGCCUUUUGCAGAGACUGAGAUGUGCUGUUGGCCGGAGGCCUCGAGUCCAGCAGCUAGAGGCCUGAAGCUAAUCAUUGGCGCACCAGGGCAAGGAGAUCGGAGGAAUCGCCAUGGAAGGUUACGGCCAAGGAGGAAGAAAAAUGUCAGGAUAGUGGGAAAGAGCAGCAUUUGAAAACUCCUUGUGAGACCAGAACAGAGUCUGCUCUUAAAAAGAAACAGUUCACGUGGCGGAAAAGCCCGCGUCUGCAGGAGCCCCUGAGCCAUAAAGUGGCUCAUGAAUUAGGGGGCAGGUUUCUCUCCUUUUUCACGCCCCCAGCUUAAAGGAUUGACCUUUGGUCUUGGCAUGCUCCAGAAUACACCAUCGCUUCCUCUCUCUACCUUUCCUGUCCUCUCCUCUGGGAAAGGCUCUGACACUGUCCUGGAGAUCGGGCAUCAGGCUGCCCAGCCGUCUGGGAGGCCUCCAGACCCUCUCCCUGUGCUGAUUGACAGCACGCCUGUACCAUCCUGCAUCCUGGGUGCCUCGUCUCCAGAUCCUCACUAACCUGUAAGCAUCUCGGUGGCAGGACCUGUGUGCUUGCCUAACACGCUCAUGUAUUUCCUAACACGUAGUGUUGAUUUCGUAAAUGUCUGGAUGAAAGUUUGGAUAAACACAUAAGAUUAAUGACCCGUUGUCCUCUAUUCAGGGCAAAACCAGUCUUGUCUGAUCAAGCACCCUGAGCCUUAGUCUCUGGACUGGUUUGUUUAUUUUGUCUAACUGUUGCACAGUGUCCACCUUUCGCUGUCUUUUCUAGGUGAAAGCACCAAACUCAAGUACUCCAGGGAAUAAAUAAUUCAUUCAGCAAAUAUGGUGUAUAAACGGCUGAUUCUCCUAUGUUCUCAACUCUUGUCUAUGUCAGGCUGCAUUUCCUACUUUAUCACUUCCUUAUUAUUAAAGAUCCAACUUUACAAGACAUCAGGAGUAACGGAAAAAAGGACGUUAAGAUUUCACAGGGCGAUUAGGGAACAAGAUAUACAUUGGGUACCAUCUGGCAGAUUCUUAAUUGAUUCUCAACUCAUAAAUCUAGUCUUCCCCCGCGUCUGCCCUGCCCGGGCUGGUUCAUCUCACUUCCUUCUUCUCCCCCACAUCCCUCUGAAAUUCCCCUGUCGGAUGCCAGCAGUUCAGCUGUGUAUACCACGCUCUGCACAACUCCGUAUAAAUAGACUGGCGAUUCUAUCUUUCUUGAGAAAACCUCCUGGGAGUCUGAUGUUAUCUCACUACAGAUGCAAUGGAGCCGCACAAAGAACCAGGUUCCCUUUUGUGUUGGAAAAAAGAAGUUACCAUUGAUUGCCAUCCUCGUGGAACUCAGUCCACAUAACUCUGCACCUCUACAAGACUGUCUUGCUUCUGAGGUCAGCAGUCGUACCAGAUCUGAACGUACAAAGUCAGUGUUCAUGGGGGCAGCUGCCCUAUUUUAUCUGGGGAGUUACUGGGGCUCACAAACCUGCAGCAGCAAGCACUAAACCCACAGAUUUUCAGAAAUACAGCCACAUCUCCAUGAUUCUACCGUCUCCUUCUGGGUUUCGCCUUCUCAUGUGAGAUGUUCCCUGCCUCCAAAAUAUUUCCUAAUUUCUCCUCAAUCCAAUAAAGUUUCAGAAAACCUG
ensembl:lncRNA